rnacentral:rRNA from 1 species
UACGUAGGGGGCAAGCGUUGUCCGGAAUUAUUGGGCGUAAAGAGCUCGUAGGCGGUGUGUCACGUCGAUCGUGAAAACUUACAGCUUAACUGUGAGCGUGCGGUCGAUACGGGCAUCACUGGAGUUCGGCAGGGGAGACUGGAAUUCCUGGUGUAGCGGUGAAAUGCGCAGAUAUCAGGAGGAACACCGGUGGCGAAGGCGGGUCUCUGGGCCGAUACUGACGCUGAGGAGCGAAAGCGUGGGGAGCGAACAGG